CCGUCUUGUUGUCUAGCCCGACAGCCUCGCGGCGUCACCAUCUUCAUUAGCAGCGCGCUGUCUUGUCGUCAUCUUCACGGAGUCACCUUAACUCGCAGCAACAUGCCGCGUCGUCGCUGCCGGGCGCGGGCGCCGUGCCCCCAUCACGGGUAUAAGACUUCAUGCCCCUUCCGUAGCCGAUUUGAUUGCAGACCGGACUCCUCCAUCGGCUAUCUUUUUUUUUUUAUUUCCU
rnacentral:lncRNA from 1 species